AGUGAACGCUGGCGGUAGGCCUAACACAUGCAAGUCGAACGGCAGCACAGUAAGAGCUUGCUCUUACGGGUGGCGAGUGGCGGACGGGUGAGGAAUACAUCGGAAUCUACUUUUUCGUGGGGGAUAACGUAGGGAAACUUACGCUAAUACCGCAUACGACCUACGGGUGAAAGCGGGGGAUCUUCGUACCUUGCGCGAUUGAAUGAGCCGAUGUCGGAUUAGCUAGUUGGCGGGGUAAAGGCCCACCAAGGCGACGAUCCGUAGCUGGUCUGAGGGGAUGAUCAGCCACACUGGAACUGAGACACGGUCCAGACUCCUACGGGAGGCAGCAGUGGGGAAUAUUGGACAAUGGGCGCAAGCCUGAUCCAGCCAUACCGCGUGGGUGAAGAAGGCCUUCGGGUUGUAAAGCCCUUUUGUUGGGAAAGAAAAGCAGCAGGUUAAUACCCCGCUGUUCUGACGGUACCCAAAGAAUAAGCACCGGCUAACUUCGUG
rnacentral:rRNA from 1 species